rnacentral:rRNA from 1 species
CCUACGGGUGGCAGCAGUGGGGAAUAUUGCACAAUGGACGAAAGUCUGAACCAGCCAAGUCGCGUGAGGGAUGACUGCCCUCUGGGUUUUAAACUUCUUUUAUAUGGAAGUAAAAUGUUCCCCGUGUAGGCUUUUGUAUGUACCAUAUGAAUAAGAAUCGGCUAACUCCGUGCCAGCAGCCGCGGUAAUACGGAGUAUCCGAGCGUUAUCCGGAUUUAUUGUGUUUAGAGGGAGCGUAGGUGGAUUGUUAAGUCAGUUGUGAAAGUUUGCGGCUCAACCGUAAAAUUGCAGUUGAAACUGGCAGUCUGGAGUACAGUAGAGGUGGGCGGAAUUCGUGGUGUAGCGGUGAAAUGCUUAGAUAUCACGAAGAACUCCGAUGGCGAAGGCAGUCCACUGGACUGCAACUGACACUGAGGCUCGAAAGUGUGGGUAUCAAACAGGAUUAGAUACCCGUGUAGUC